CCGACCUUAGCUUAAUUGGCAUAGCGGAAGACUGUAGUUGGCAAACCAUCAUAAAUCCUUUGGUCGCUGGUUCGAAUCCGGCAGGUCGGA
rnacentral:tRNA from 1 species